rnacentral:rRNA from 1 species
UACAGAGGGGGCAAGCGUUGUUCGGAAUUACUGGGCGUAAAGGGCGCGUAGGUGGCCUUCUAAGUCGAACGUGAAAUCCCUGGGCUCAACCCAGGAACUGCGUCCGAGACUGGGAGGCUUGAAUCCGGGAGAGGGAUGCGGAAUUCCAGGUGUAGCGGUGAAAUGCGUAGAUAUCUGGAGGAACACCGGUGGCGAAGGCGGCAUCCUGGACCAAUAUUGACGCUGAGGAGCGAAAGCUAGGGGAGCAAACGGG